UUCCAGACUCCUACGGGAGGCAGCAGUGAGGAAUAUUGGUCAAUGGGCGCGAGCCUGAACCAGCCAAGUAGCGUGAAGGAUGACUGCCCUACGGGUUGUAAACUUCUUUUAUAAAGGAAUAAAGUGAGGCACGUGUGCCUUUUUGUAUGUACUUUAUGAAUAAGGAUCGGCUAACUCCGUGCCAGCAGCCGCGGUAAUACGGAGGAUCCGAGCGUUAUCCGGAUUUAUUGGGUUUAAAGGGUGCGCAGGCGGAUUUUUAAGUCAGCGGUCAAAUCGUGGGGCUCAACCCCAUCCAGCCGUUGAAACUGGGGAUCUAGAGUGUGCGAGAGGUAUGCGGAAUGCGUGGUGUAGCGGUGAAAUGCAUAGAUAUCGCGCAGAACCCCGAUUGCGAAGGCAGCGCACCGGCGCCCUACUGACGCUCAGGCACGAAAGCGUGGGUAUCGAACAGGAUUAGAUACCCGUGUA
rnacentral:rRNA from 1 species